UUCAAUUUCCGUCCAUUGUUGUAGAUGUGGAAUUUGCUUACUGGCACACAGCCCCACAGUUCCCCAGCCAGUCAGCCACCCAGCCACGCCCAGCUCUAUGCACUCCAAGCCAAUAAAAAGAAAAUUUAUGUACUUUUUUUUUUUUUUUUGCUUCUGUGCAGCGUGCGACCGACUUUGUAAUGUUUGCUGCUGCAUACAAACAUGCAAACAUAAUCGAUGUGUAUGUGUGUGUGUGUAUUUGUAUGUGUGUGUGUGUGUGUGUG